rnacentral:rRNA from 1 species
ACGGGAGUAGCAAUACUCCAGUGGCGGACGGGUGAGUAACGCGUGAGAAUCUGCCUUCUGGUCGGGGACAACCACUGGAAACGGUGGCUAAUACCGGAUGAGCCGAAGGGUAAAAGAUUAAUUGCCAGAAGAGGAGCUCGCGUCUGAUUAGCUAGUUGGUGGGGUAAAAGCCUACCAAGGCAUCGAUCAGUAGCUGGUCUGAGAGGACGAUCAGCCACACUGGGACUGAGACACGGCCCAGACUCCUACGGGAGGCAGCAGUGGGGAAUUUUCCGCAAUGGGCGAAAGCCUGACGGAGCAAGACCGCGUGAGGGAAGAAGGCUCUUGGGUCGUAAACCUCUUUUGUUAGGGAAGAACACAAUGACGGUACCUAACGAAUCAGCCUCGGCUAACUCCGUGCCAGCAGCCGCGGUAAUACGGAGGAGGCAAGCGUUAUCCGGAAUUAUUGGGCGUAAAGCGUCCGCAGGUGGCUAUUCAAGUCUGCGGUCAAAGACUGGGGCUUAACCCUGGAAAGGCCGUGGAAACUGAAGAGCUAGAGUGCAGUAGGGGUAGAGGGAAUUCCCGGUGUAGCGGUGAAAUGCGUAGAGCUCGGGAAGAACAUCGGUGGCGAAAGCGCUCUGCUGGACUGCAACUGACACUCAGGGACGAAAGCUAGGGGAGCGAAUGGGAUUAGAUACCCCAGUAGUCCUAGCCGUAAACGAUGGAUACUAGGUGUGGCU